AACGGUCUAUACCUGCGGUACCUGCGGAAGGAUCAUUACCGAGUUUACAACUCCCAAACCCAAUGUGAACGUUACCAAACUGUUGCCUCGGCGGGAUCUCUGCCCCGGGUGCGUCGCAGCCCCGGACCAAGGCGCCCGCCGGAGGACCAACCUAAAACUCUUUUGUAUACCCCCUCGCGGGUUUUUUAUAUCUGAGCCAUCUCGGCGCCUCUCGUAGGCGUUUCGAAAAUGAAUCAAAAC
rnacentral:misc_RNA from 1 species